UUUACCUUUGUAAUAACAGCUUGCACAAGUAAAUGUUAAAAAUGCUGCUAUCCUAAAUUCCCUCUCUUUAGAAUACUUGAAUUGCAACAUCAAUGACAGAUUAAAAAGCUGAAGAAGAGCAUGUGCAAUUAAAUGGGCUUUGAGCCACUGAACUCAUAGGUUUUGCACAAAGAGCAGAAAUUAAGCAGACAGGAAUUAAUUCAUCUGGGUUUUGUUGCUGCUUUUCCUUGCAUGCCCAGCAGUCAGAAGGGAAAAAAUCUUAGUGAUUUAAGGCUGUGGAUUUCUGACAAUGUCAGUGCUUUGUUCCUGAAUGUUAUGUUGGAUACAUGGACUGAAGGAGUUUCUUCACCUGAAGAUGAUCCCUGACUGCCCAUGGCUGUGCUGGCUCAUUUUUCCACUCUACAGACAGACCAAAUAAUCAGGUUUCAACUGCCCACAAUUAAAGGCAAUAAAUUAGAGAGAAAAUGAGGAAGAGCUGCAGCAGAACGCUGGAGGUAAAGGUGAGGUACUGGGUGUGGGCUGGUGGCUGCUGGAGCUGUCAGGGACUUCCCAGCCAGGGCUCUGGCUUUUAUUUUACAGCUGAGGCAGAGAAACUUCAAUACUGCAGAAAGGUCAGUCAAAACAAAGACAGUUUUUUCCUUUUCAGUGCAAAACAAGACUCUGCAUUCUGGCAGAUAAAGACAGGGCAGAAUGUAUAUUGUUGUAAUUAUAUAAAGUAAAUAGUGUCUGACUUCUUUCUAAUUUGUUCCUAGAAAAAAUGUAGAAGUCUUGGUGAACCUAGUUGAAAUUGAGGUGGGAAAUGAGCUAAAGUAAUAUGUUUCUAACCAGGAUUUACAGAGCUAAGUAAAUGAGAAAAUGUUUUUCUGUAAACUUCAGCAGAAACCACAUUAGGUAAAUCAGUUCCAGUUCCACAGCAAAGAGGGGACAGCUGAGCCCACAGUAACAGGUACUUCAUAGUAAAAAAUACUACAUUUGAUUUUUAAAUGCAUAUGGUUUGAAAACAAAAGCAGCCUAUAAAUAAAUGGCCAUAUGCUUUAUCUACUAGUCUAAUUCAGCUUUUUGACAGCCAUUCAUUGCUUUGUGUUUUCUGUGAGUACAAAGUGUAAUUACAGCCUCUGCUCUGCAGCAUUUACAGGGUCUGGUGACCUUCAGAUUCUUUGAGGAGCUGUCCUUGUCCCCAGGAGGGAAAGCUGGCUGGCCUGAGCAGCAACGUGGGCUUUUUGUGAGCAGGCUGCAGUUUUCCUGCAGUCCCAGGAUGGUGUUUCCACUGGGAUGGAUGCGCUGGAUUUGAAAAGAGCAUUUGCCUGACGGUGGCCUUUGCCAUGGAAUUGCCUCACCACACCCAGCAGCUCCUGCUCUGAGCCCUGUCCCACCUUAAGGAGUUCCCUGUGCUGUGCCAUGGAGUGGAGGAAACACAGCUUGGUCUGAGCUGUGGGAACGCCCUGGCCCUGGUGGAGCACAAGGAGCACCUGCACCCAGACCCCUGCACAGAUUGCCUCAGGACUGGCUGAAGAACAGGAGCUAGUCAAGACCAGCUGAAGUCCACAGGGAUAGCAUCCCACUCUUCCGAGGGAAAAGUGAGUCCUUAAUGUUUUCCCAGCCUUCCUCACUAUCAGACUGAACCUUUUCUUGGAUGCAGAAGAGCAGAAAGUAAAGCAGUUUUAGUGGUUUGUGAACUCCCUGGAGCAGCUCUGAGGGCUCAGAGGUUUCUCUCAUUCCUAAAAGAAACAAGCAGCUUGUUAGAAGGAAUACACACACCUGUUUUUGUUAUGAAACAGAAUUAUCUCCCAUAAAGCAUCUCAUUUAAUUACC